rnacentral:rRNA from 1 species
GCGGAGGAAAAGAAAAUAACUAUGAUUCCCUCAGUAACGGCGAGUGAAGCGGGAAAAGCUCAUUCUGUGAAUCUACAUACUAAUCUUGGUAUGUCGAAUUGUUUCAUGAAGAGCCACAUCAGUGCGAGUUCUGAUCUAAGUCUCUUGGAAAAGAGCAGCUAAGAGGGUGACACUCCCGUUCUUGGUUGGAACUCAAACUUUAGCAUGUGGUUUCGACGAGUCGAGUUGCUUGGGAUUGCAGCUCAAAGUUGGUGGUAAAUCCCAUCUAAAGCUAAAUAUCGGUGGGAGACCGAUAGCGUACAAGUACCGUGAGGGAAAGAUGCAAAGAACUUUGAAAAAAGAGUUAAAGAGUACCUGAAAUUGCUGAAAUGGAAGCGAAGGAAACCAGUGCCAUGCUUUAUCAUUUUUCUGUUCUUGCUUGCGAGAAUAGCGCUGUGAUAUUGCAUAGGCCAGCAUGGGUUUGAACCGAAGGAAGCAGCCGUUCAGGAGACAGCACAAUUUCUGUGUGAUUACUGUUCGGUUAUGCUUCGGUUCAGACCGAGGCUAGUCACUUGUGCUCGUGAUGCUGGCGAAAUGGUUUUCUUUACCCCGUCUUGAAACACGGACCAAGGAGUCUAACAUAUGUGCGAGUAUAUGGGUGGCAAACCCACGUGCGAAAUGAAAGUAACAGUGGUUGGAAUCUUUGAUACACAAUCCGCCGGUCACAAUUCUUCGGAAGAAAGAUCUGAGUGUGAGCAUACAUGUUGGGACCCGAAAGAUGGUGAACUAUGCCUGAAUAGGGUGAAGCGGCGG